CGCGGAGCGGUGCGCCGCGGCCGCCCCGGAGCUCGGCGCCGAAGCCGCCGUCCCGCGGGCCGCGAACGGUGUUUGUAAUUUCUACGUUUUUACACGUUCGUUUAUUUGUUUUUAUUUUUCGCGCUCCGUGCUCCGCGCCGCGGGACGCGAAGGGCGAGGGGGGAAACGCAGCCGUCGCCUCGCCGUUUACUCGAGAGAAAUCGGGGCGAGCAGCGAGAGGAGCUCCCGAGCCCGGCCCCGCCGUGCCGCCCCGCCGCCGCCCGCAGGAAAAGCGGCCUUCUGGUUUGAGCGCGCGUGUGAUGGCGCUGCCUUCGAAAUACAGACGCUCCGGCUGAAAUCCGCAUCGACGCUUCUCGCUGCAGCCUCGGGGCGUCCGCGCUGUAAGGCUCCGGCCGUUCGUGCCGGCGCACCGAGACGCCGACUCCGGACUGCGUCACGGAGCAGCUUCAGCCGCACCGCCGCGCGCGUAGCCCGACCCCGGAUCCCGGUGCCCGCACCCGAGCGCGUUGCAGAGGGCCGCCCGGCGCUGGGUUUGAGAGCGGCCCGAGAAGGAGACGCCCUUAGGACGGAUCGUAGAUCGUAGACCGGGGAGGUUCCGGCGGGCACAGCGCGGCUCGGCUGGGAGCGGCACGGGGUGACGGCCGAGAGCCCCGGGCGCCCCGACGGCGCGGGCGGCCCUCGGCGUCACCGCGGCCCCUUCGGGGCUGAUCCCGUGGCCCCGGGUGGGCAGCGAGAGAACGAACCAACGUGUCCUUGGGCCAGAGGGGACGUGACACCGGCCGCCUGUUCUCCUGCCUCUCACGGCCCCGCAUCUUCCCAGCUCCCAGCGCAUUGAGCCCUAUCGUUUUGAUCCCUGGCAAUAAACUCAGGGCCUUCAGCAAUUAACUCACGCUCUUCAUCAAACUGACACUCCGUAUAGGGAAGGUUGUUAUUUCCUAGGCUUCUAAUGUGAGGAAAAACACGCGGUGACAAGUGUGGAAAAGAGCAAGCACUAAAUUACUGUCAGAAAAAUAAACGGCGGAGCGCGGAGCUGCGCGGUGAUUUACGGGGGCAAUUAGCCACCGCCCCGCCGGGCCGGCUCCGCCCGCCGCCCUUCCUUCCCCGGACACGAAACGGGGAGGGCCGCCCCGGCGCCUGGGCGCUGUGCGGUGGGUGUGGAGGGCCGGGUAAACCCCGGUGCUGCUGUGUCACCCGGGUGGGGUCGUAGAGGGGGGGUUGUAAUUGGAGCGACAGAGCGGAGGGACGUUUGAGGCUCUGGUACAGCUCAGGCUGUGACAGUGAGCCCACAACCACUGAGCCGUGGGGUCUCCAGAAGGACCACCGGGACCAUCGGUGUGGCUGUGGAGAUGCUUCUUCCUGGUGGCCAGAGCAGAAUGUGGGCUGAGGGCUGUCAGGUUCCUAAUCAGUCUGCAGGGACACUGCUCUGCCACAUCUCGCCCUGCUGGAUGCACUGUGAGCACGGUGGCUUUGACCCUGACCUGCCUAACCUAAUCUCCUUGGUGCCCGUACAUCGAUUUUCACUUUCUGAGGCGGCGCUGUGCACCUGGGGCCGAGUACCGGGGCCUGGCUAUGGCAGCAGUGGCAUCUGACCCCGGGUGCUGGGCCUGCCCUUCUGAACAGCACCGCCUGUCCCAGCCAGGGCAUGUGGUGCCAGGACCUGCUCAUCAGGCAGGGAACGCGCUGGGGACAAAAGGAGGAGCAGCAGGGCCAACCCCUCCAGGUGUGGUGCUGAGUGGGAAUGGCAGCCAUGCGUUCUUCAGAGGAAAAUGAAGAGCAGUCAUGGUUUGUGCAUAGGAAAUGGGCAUAUGGGAGAAGCAGCAGUGUGUGCUGGGCUCUGCCCUUGGCCUCCUCCUCCCUUUCUGGAAGCGCUCCGUGCAGAGCCAUGGGUGUGUGCCCCUCCCCGUGCGUGUAGAGCCCACCUCUGCUCUGGGCUGCCGGACUGCCUCCCACCAUCAGCGUGUGAUCAGUGUGACCAGUAUCUCUCUUGUGUUCUUCUGCUAGUAAAACUGUGGAUGUCCUUUAAAUAAA
ensembl:lncRNA